CCCUGAGCCACCCUCCGACAGGACAGUUUGGGAGGACAGGGGCAGGAGGGUCGUGUUGAUUGGCCAGAAUGGGGGAGCGUUCAAUAGUCGACCAGCAAUAAUUACUGGAUUGCCUGCUGUGUGACCAGCAGCCUGCUAAGCGCUGGGGACGUAGAUCCAGGGCAAAGAAAACAAACCGUGGGCAACUGUGAGGUGCGCUGUGAACCAUGAGGAAUGCCACGGGACACCAUAUUUCGAUGGAGCCCACGGUCCUUCCCGAUGGAGCCCUCCUCCUCGAUGGAGCUCUCAGCCAGAGGCAGGAGAGCGUGUUCCGGGUUCCAAGCCAGGAUGUCGGAAUGAGCCCUGGUGCACCGCCCGUGGGAGCAUGUCUGUGUACCCAAAGAAAACAUUACAACUUGAGUAAUAGCAAGUCCUGGAAAUGAUGACAGCUGCUUGCGAGCUGGUUGCAAGCCACUGGCUGGCCUUUGCGGAAACCUGAUAUUCAGGCAUGUGUGUGGGAGGCAGGAGUCCCCGCCACGGCCGUCUCAGAUUUUGAAAUCUCCAAGAUGCUAAAAUCCAUUUUCCCCUCUCUCUAGGUAAGGCUCCCCAGGAGCAAACCCUGAGAUAGAGACGGGCGUGCAAGUCAUCCUUUAGGGUCGCGGUCCCAGGUCAAGGGGGGAGGAGACCAGAAGUGGGGUCAGUGUUUUUGGCAAAGUCCCCCAGAGGGUUUGUCCAGGCUCCGGCCAAGUUGCUGGGCUCUCAUAUUCAAGUACCUAUGUGUCACUGACCAAGGGCUCACCUGGGGGUGCACCCUCUAGGCACCCCUCCAUAUCUGCAGGUGCAGGCCAUCAGAAGCAAAGCACCCCGAAGCCACGGUAGGCCGAGAAGAACUACAAGACUUUGGGGGAGCUCGACAGUACACACGGUCAUCCUACUGGGACAUGGGGCGGGGGAUUCUGGGUCUAGACUUGCCCUCCUGGCUUUUCCUGCCCGAGCAUCUCCGUUUUGGAACUGGGGGUAUGGGUGGCUUUCCAUCUUGCUCACAAAUCACCAAUCACCUUCAUCAGGCUCCAGGGGUGUGAUAAAUUGUUAAAUGUGUGCCGUUACCUUGUAACAUUUUUGUUUCCUCCAGGAAACAAGACGCCAGCAAUGCUUUCCAGUGGUCGUCUGGUUUUCUCUCCCUCUCUCCUCCGAAGCCUUCCCUGCCCAAUGCACAUCAAACUGUGCACUGUUUACUGGGCUAACGCACACUUAUGGAAAAGUGCAAAAAGCAUGAGUGUGAUGGAUGGGCGGAUUUCCCCAGAGUGAACCUGUCCAUGUGACCACCACCCAGCUCAAGAAGCAGAACUUCCCAGCACCGCAGGAGAUUCCCUGUGUGCCCCCCGCCGCCCCGGGAAAACACUGUCCCGACAUUGGACGCCAGAGGUGAGUUUUGCUUGCCGUUUACGGUUUGUACAGGUGGAGUCUCAUGGGAUGUGCUCUUCCGUGGCUGGAUUAGUUUUUUCAACAUGAGCUUUAUGAGAUUGUCUGUAUUUGGUAUGUCAUAGCGGUUUGCUCUUUUACAUGGCUGUCUACUAUGCUGCCACUUAUUGAUCCUUCUGGUUGCUGAUGGGCAUCACAGCUCUUUCCGGUCUGGGCUCUUAGAAACGGCGUGCCUGUGGACAUUCUAGAACGUGUUUCUGGGUGCACGUAUGUAUGUGUGCUGUUGGGCAUACAUCUGGUGGAAUUGCUGGGUCACGGGAAUUUGCACGUUCAGCUUGAUCAGGCGCUGCCGGUUUGCAAAGUGGGGGUGUACUCAUUUACACCCUCAGAGCUGUGCAGCAGCUCUGCUUCCUCCAGAGCCUCACCAGCACUUGGUAUUUGGAAUCUCCAUUUUGCAAUCCAGUUAGAAUGGAUAGGAUCAUACCCUUGAACACUCUCCACCCUCAGGGGGCUCCUGGGUGGCUCAGUCCGUGAAGUGUCUGCCUUCGGCUCACGUCAUGAUCUCAGGGUCCUGGAAUCAAGCCCUGCAUCAGGCCCCCUGCUCAGUGAGGAGUCUGCUUCUCUAUCUCCCCCUUGGCUCGUGCUCUGUCUUUCGCUCUCUCUCCCUCUCAAAUAAAUAAAUAAAUAAAUAAAUAAAUAAAUAAAUA
rnacentral:lncRNA from 1 species